UAGGGAAUCUUCGGCAAUGGACGAAAGUCUGACCGAGCAACGCCGCGUGAGUGAAGAAGGUUUUCGGAUCGUAAAACUCUGUUGUUAGAGAAGAACAAGGACGUUAGUAACUGAACGUCCCCUGACGGUAUCUAACCAGAAAGCCACGGCUAACUACGUGCCAGCAGCCGCGGUAAUACGUAGGUGGCAAGCGUUGUCCGGAUUUAUUGGGCGUAAAGCGAGCGCAGGCGGUUUCUUAAGUCUGAUGUGAAAGCCCCCGGCUCAACCGGGGAGGGUCAUUGGAAACUGGGAGACUUGAGUGCAGAAGAGGAGAGUGGAAUUCCAUGUGUAGCGGUGAAAUGCGUAGAUAUAUGGAGGAACACCAGUGGCGAAGGCGGCGCUCUGGUCUGUAGCUGACGCUGAGGCUCGAAAGCGUGGGGAGCAAACAGG
rnacentral:rRNA from 1 species